rnacentral:rRNA from 1 species
AGCAGCCGCGGUAAUUCCAGCUCCAAUAGCGUAUAUUAAAGUUGUUGCAGUUAAAAAGCUCGUAGUUGAAUUUCGGGAUUGACACAUCGGUCGUGCCUUAAGGGGUAUGAACUGGUGUAGUCAAUUUCUCACCUUCUGGAGAACCACGAUGCCCUUAAUUGGGUGUCGCGGGGAACCAGGACCUUUACUUUGAAAAAUUAGAGUGUUUAAAGCAGGCAUUUUGCUUGAAUACAUUAGCAUGGAAUAAUAAAAUAGGACGGCAUGAUUCUAUUUUGUUGGUUUCUAGGAUCACCGUAAUGAUUAAUAGGGAUAGUUGGGGGCAUUAGUAUUCAAUUGUCAGAGGUGAAAUUCUUGGAUUUAUUGAAGACUAACUACUGCGAAAGCAUUUGCCAAGGAUGUUUUCAUUAAUCAAGAACGAAAGUUAGGGGAUCGAAGACGAUCAGAUACCGU